rnacentral:rRNA from 1 species
UACGAAGGGGGCUAGCGUUGUUCGGAAUCACUGGGCGUAAAGCGCACGCAGGCGGAUUGAUAAGUCAGGGGUGAAAUCCCGGAGCUCAACUUCGGAAUUGCCUUUGAUACUGUCUGUCUUGAGUCCGGGAGAGGUGAGUGGAAUUCCUAGUGUAGAGGUGAAAUUCGUAGAUAUUAGGAAGAACACCAGUGGCGAAGGCGGCUCACUGGCCCGGUACUGACGCUCAUGUGCGAAAGCGGGGGGAGCAAACAGG